UUUUUUUUUUUUUUUUUUUUUAAUAUGUAAGAACAUUAGUGUCAGCCACCCCAAUAACAAAUUCAUGGUUACAUCACAGCUCCCACAGUAGAGGGAAAGACUGUGGCAUAUAAAGAUUAUGCAGAUUACAAAUAUUUUGCAGUACCUCAGUGAUGCUUUGCCAAGCUUUUGCAAUUUCUAGAUACAAUCCAAAUCAAAUAUCCUGUUUUGUAAAACUUUGAAUUUCAAAGUCUUCUUUUGUUACUGUUUCUAUUUUCCUUGCAUCGCUGUACCAAAGCGAUGGAGUUUCUGGCAGUUCUGUACAACCUCUGCGUUCCUUUUAAAUUAGUCCACUUCAUACCUUUUUAUUUGAUGACACCUGUCCUCCCAGCCCACUGUCAUGAGCUACCGAAUGACUUUGAAAAAUCUACUGUCAUACCUAGAUCACUUCACACAAAAAAUCAAUUCACCGUUAAAAUAGUCAAACUCAAACCCAUAGUAGUCCUGUCUGGAGAAAGGAAAUGAUGAUCUGCCCUUCCAGAGUGAUAUGUCCUUGGCUGCUUCCAUGAGUGCUUCCAUUGGAUUAAAAUUGUCCUGCUUCUUCCUGCUCUGGUUGAGUCAGAGAAGACCAGCUGUAGUUGUGGCUGCACUCAUAAAUGUGCAGACCAUGGCGGUGGACCAUGGGGAGGGGAACAGCAGCUUGUGCCUAAAGGGUAAAGCAUUCCUUACUGUAGCAGCUGGAUGCAUCCUGCUGUGGGCUGAGGGAGCACUUCUGUGGUGGAGCUGUAUCAUCCUGGAGAAGUCCCUGAGCUCCUGUGCCAUGUGCAGCAGGGUGCUGAGGAGCUGGCAGGUAGGCCCCAGUACCUUGUGCAGGGGAGCCUCAGGAGCUGUACAAUUACAGGUGUGAGCUGCCUUCCCAGGGUCUGCAGCACCUUGUGCAGUUGAGGCAAUGGUAGAAAAACAACUGUGGGAUUUUUUUCUUUGAGAUCAGUGUUCCAGUAAAUCAUUAAAUUCCAAAGAAUAAACAAGUUCCCCCAGGAAGAAGCAAUUCAUUUGUGUUACUCUCUGACCUAUUAAAAUGCAAAAAUUGCUGUGGAAUUUACUCUGUGGUGAUAUGUUCCAGCGGUGGAGCAGUUUUCAUUACAGCUAGUGUUUUUCUAAUUAUAACUAUAAAUAAAAAUUAACCUCCAUCUCGAUUCAAAAUGGGUCCCACAGAUUGUCAGGUGCAUAGGUGAUGCAGUGCAGAGAGACAAAUGCAGCGGCACCUGCACCAUCAUCAUAUUGACUUACAACUUGGGGGUUAAUUAUUGAAUUCUUUGACUAAAAAUGGCUGCCCCAAUACAUGGUAAUUUCCAGAACGCUUAAAAGAAGCUUGACAGCUUCUCAUUAGAUUACAAUAGACAAACUGCCUGAAUCUACAGUGCAAUUUUAUUAAGGAUGCCCAAGUAUAAAAACAAGAGCUUUUCAUUUUGGUAUUGUAUGCUUUACAUUGCAUUGAUUUGCUUCUAUUGAUUUUUAAUAAAAAAGUGUUUUUCCAAAUGGUGUAAAUUAAUUGUUAUUGCACCACAGAAAACAGAACACUGCACCACAGUAAUUAACAUUUCCUGGCACAGAAUCCAGAGAGCUUGCUGCUGAAAUGGGCUUUAAAGCAUAUUUUGACUGUACUGCAAGCAUUGGUGUGUCUAUGAAGCUGUGAUGUGGCAGGCACAGCAACUGCUUUCACAGCUUGGAUAUGAGCAGAUACCCUCCAGGGCUCACAAGGCACUGUGUCCAUGAGAUAGAGGACAAACAGGCUAUUUGCUCUCCUUUCACUAUUUUUCCACAGCUGUUUGAGGACUUUGGAGACUGCUUUUGCCAAGCUGUGGAAAUAUGUCCUCUCUUUCUUUCUGUUACCUUCAAUUCUUGGUAUCCACCCAUUAUCUUUUGUCAUAUACAAGAGUUGCAUGCUUUAGGGAUAUGGCUCUUCACUGCUUUUCAUGUAUGAAGGUCCUCAUGCCUGGCUGAAGCUGCUUGGCUCUGUCAUGGAAUGGGGAGCUUGGACAUACCAAACAAGGUGAGGUAAAAAAGCCUGUACAGCAGGUAUCUCCAGUGUCAGCAGGAUCAUGGAAACUGGACACAAGCAUCUCUUCUUCCCCAUCAGGCACCUUUAGAGGAUUUAAGCAAUGUUAAGCAAACUUGGAUAGUACAUAGUGAAUACAUCCACCUCUUUAAAUACUAUAGUUUAAGUACAAAGGAAAAAAGGCACAUUCUUUAUAUAUAGCCAGUGGGGAAACUAAGGCACAGGAAACAGAAAAGAUUGAGAGGCGAAUCCUGUCAUGUUAGCAGCUGCACCUCAAACACAAUGCAAUCCCUUCUUUUGGGGACAUUUAAGUUAUUUUGUAGUUGUAAGCUACGUGUUACACAAAAGGAAUUUUUCCUUCAAAUGUUUUAUCAGAUGACAGUGAUAAUUCAAUUAACAAAAAAAGAAAACUCUACAUACCUUACUCCUCAGAUGAUCUUCUUUUGUACUAAGUUAAAACAUACCUUAAAACAAACAAACAAACAAAUAAAAGCAGUUUACCUUGGAAAAUACCUGUGGAAAAAAAGGUAAAAAAUCACCAGUAGAGAAUUACUGCACAGCUGGAAGUGGAAGGGUGCAUCUUCAUUCCCAGGAAACUCCUCAUGAACAGAAUCUCUGUAUGAGAGAGGAACCCAAAACAAGGAUGGCUGCUGCAGCCAUCCAAUCCUUCACACUCACAGCUAGAGGAACAGCUAAUGCUCUCAUCUAGUAACCAAGAUCCUUUAGCAAGUCAGGUAUCUGAUUUCUAUCUCUUGUCCUAACCACCUAUGCCAGAGACGCUUAAACUAUGAUUAACGCCGUAUUAUACACCCUUCUUAUAGACAUUUUUUUUUUUUUGGUAUGUCAGGGGAAAUCACAGGAGUGCACACGUUCCCAAGAAGUUCAGAUAUCCUCCUUGUUGUUCACUUAGUGGCGAUCCCAAAACUUUGAUUCUCAAACCUUGAAAUUCAGUGGAGAUUUACAAAUAAAUAGAAAAGAGAAUUAAUAAAAUAGUCUUUAUAUUAAUGAGAUUAGUUAAAUUAAAAAAAUUAUUCUUUAUGAAUAUUGUUUUCUGCUCUUAGUCAUUUUUCCAAAAACCUUGCCACUGGGUGCAAACUUUGAGCCUGAAAAGUAUGCAGUAUCUGAUCAGCUGAUACAAAUCAGCGGAGCUGUGCUGUGUUCUAUCCACUGAGAAUGUGACAUUCCAUUUUUGUCUGUUCUCACACAACUAGGUUUGAUACCAGGAGCAGGAGGAAAUUCUGUGAAACUCAUACUGAAACCAGUGGAAGUAUGAGAUGGGAAGGACUUCCUCCUAGCAGGUUUGGAAGGGGUCAUCUGUCACAAAAGCCACAAUAACUCUUAACAAGCAAGUGGACAAGAUGAGACCAAUAUGAAAAGAGAAAAGUUUGGAAGAGAGCACCAUGAGACUUCUACUUUCUUUAGGAAAUUGUAUCCCAAUGGUCUGAUAUGAAAUGUAUCUAUACCAUUAAGUGGAUUAAGAUGUUAUAGUGCUAGUCAUGCAGAUAAGGUUUUGUUACCAUGAUGGAGAUCUGUAGGAGAAAGAAUGUCUGCCUGUUGAGGAGAUAAGGCAAUAAAACCACUCUGCUUUUGUACGUCUGUGAUCCAGUGGGGAGGAGCUUUUUCCACUAUUGAGAAGUUCAGGUUCAACAAAAUCUUCUUGCAGUCCUACUUGGUGACCUCAUGAUGGAUUCAGGCAAAGCCUUUUGUUUGAGAUAGGAUAUGAAUUGAAACAAGAUGGUAAAGAAAAACAUUGAAUCAGAAUUCAAUAGAAGUGCAAAUUUGAAAGUCUCCCCCUAGCAGACGUAUUUUAAUGAAUGCAUAGUUACAGGGUGACUGUGUUAUCUCACUUUUCUUGUGCCAUUAACUGAGAAGAGAGUUUAAAAAAAAGUGUCCCCACAGAAAUCUUAUUCAUAUGUUUUAUUAUAUGCUCCAGCACGGGCACCACUUUAGUUUAAUGGUGUGUUGGAUGAUGGUACAAAUUUAUAGCCAAAGGUUUACAUCACAGACAGCUGGAAUGAAUAACAAUAAAUUAAUUUAAAGUGCUACAAAAGUGCUCCCCAUAGUAUGCAGUGCUUAUGUGCUCAAGGCUAAUAAUUUAUAAAUGCACAUCUUUUAUAAUCCUGAUCUAAAGUCCUGAAAGCAGCUAGUUAAAAAGCAGUCACAUGACAUAAAUUAUUUUUAUUAAUAUUUCAAAUGCACGAUUAGGGUGGGCACUGUGGUCAUUAGCAUUAGAUAGCUUUCAUUUAUGACCAAGUGCAAUGAAGCAACAGCCAGAGACAGCAAAACUAGCUAAGCAAUGGCACAACAAGUGUGAGAUGGAUGCUUCUUCUUUCCCAUGAUUUUCAUAUGUUAGUAAUCAUCAUGGCUGCAGCUAUGCGCUAUUUUCUUGACUAGCAGUCCUUUUCCUUUCAUUACUCUGCUAUGUUUAGCACAUCAGCUACUCACCAGGCCCAAAUGGUGAAGCCACGUGCAGCUGGGUGCAGUCAGAGGCCAUAGUGCUUCUCCUUGUGGCUUCUUUCCAUUCACAGACACUGAACACAGUGAGAGCACUGCUCUAAGAAUGCCUCUGAGACUUCCCUCGUUGCAGCAGUAGUGCUAAUGUGAACACUAAACUAGUAUCAAACGUUCAUGCAAACUCUUGCUUGGAUAAGAUAAGUUAUUUUGAAGUGUUUAUCUUGCUAAGAGGGGACACAACCAUUUUUGGAUCUAUGAAAGUAUUAGAGAGAAUUUAUGUCUCCAGAGAAACAAAUAUUUGCAGAAGAGCAUUGUGGAGAAUAAAGAUGAGGCCACACCAUGAGAUUCAUAGAAUCAUACAACCAUUAUGGUUGGAAAGAUGUCUAAGAUCAUGUAGUUCAGUCAUCAACCCAUGCCUGUGACCACCCUAGACUAUGUUACUCAGUGCAGUAUCCACCCUUAUCUUGAAAACCUCUGGAGAUGGUGACUCCCUGGGCAGCCUGUUCAAUCUUUUGGGUGGAGGAUAUGUUAUUUUCCCAGCAUUACCCAACAUUAAACUGCAGUCUUCUCUAGUUUAAGAAUGUAUUUACUCUCACUGGUAGAAGUAAAAAAGUAGCAGCUCAAAUAACUUCCAUAGCACUGCAUCUUUUUCUUCAGUGCACUUCUCAGGCAUAUCUCACUACUGGGAUAUCCCUGUCUUAAUGCUAUCGUUAUUUUCUCCAAGAAAAUUUGGCCUCCUCUCACUUUUCUUGGAGAAAAACAUUUACUUCUUGAAUGCAGUGUCAUAAAGCUGAGGUUACAGAAGGAGUCUUUCACAUUGGAAGAAGGAUCGUGAAUAAUUUCUGUGUCUCUCAUUCUGGGUGACUGCCAUAUAUCGGACUACAUAUUUGAAUCUUGGCAGAUGAUUGGAAAAUAUACACUACAAGCAACCCCAUUCACUUCAGCAGUUCUAGCAAAGUAAGCAAAGUGAUACAGAAAAUGGGCUGGAGUAUUAUAGCCUUGGCCCUUCACUCCUACUUUAAAGGAAAAAAACCUUUUUGCACUGCUCACAAUGUAAGCUUCUAAGCAGCAAUUUGCUAUUAUUUUUUAAUAUUGUAGGCCUCUACAAGCUCAUGGCCUCUCUCCUCUUCCUUUCUAGCUUUCUUUGAAAGUACUUUGUAAUUGAACACAUUUUCCAGAGGUCAAUGGGGGCAUAUUUGCAUUUUGAUACAUUCUAAUUUUUUUUGCCUCCAGCACGCCACUCCAAAGCACUGUGCUAAUCAGAAGCAAAUAAUGAUCUCCUAGGUGCUGUAAGUGGGUGACUAGGCACAAAAAGGCAUAACAACAUGCAAAAAUUAGUGAGGAAAAAAUACACGGUAAAAUAAAUAAAUAAGAAACAGAGUGAUUAUGCUGGCAAAAGCGUUUAGAUUUGUAAGCUGAAGUCCUGCAUGGAACAAGCAGCUAAUUUGUUUCUGUGCGCCACUGAAGGGAUAAGGGCGUUAAGGGCACUCCUGUGCUGAUGGAGGGCUGGAUUCUCUGUGCUCAUUGCUCAUACACACGUCAGUGUACCCAGAUGAUGCAUAAGCAUUUCUGAGGGCUUUUUAUACCACCAGGAAACACCUUGUGUUCUGAAAAAUCCAAAUACAAGAUUAGGCAGGAUCUAGAAAAAUGGGGCAGUCCCCAAAGCAUGGGUUUAUCUGCAUGGAGGUCUUUUAUUUUUAGCACUGGUGACAGGUUUUCACUCAAGCAUCCCUGUCCCAGUGGGGAUGGGGUGUAUGUGAGAAGGAGAAGAUUGGAGCUGAGAAGAUUAUUUCAUUCUCAAAAUGUUUUUCUUAUUUUAGUUUGAAUAUCUUUAGCAGACAGAGGUGCAGAGAAACACGAGCCCUUCCCCACUAACUGCAGCAUCAGGAGAAAAGCUCCUGAUAAGCAGAUGCUGCUCAGGCAGCACUCAGCCAGGCAGUGUGUGCUUAUGCACGAGAGAUGGAGGUACCGGCAGGCAGCGAGCAGAGGCACUGCGGUGAGUGUGUGUGUGGCUGUGAGAGAGGGGCAAUGCAGGUUUGUCUGCAGAAGGAAACAAUGCCUGAGCAAAGCUGAGCUGCUCCAGUGAGCAUUUUGUGUGUGUGUUUGGAAGAAGGCAAAGAGAAGCAGCCAAGGGAGAGAGACUGAAUGGAAAAGAAGGACUGCCAAAGUGGAAUAUGGUGUGGAAAUGUGAACGUAGACAUGGACACUGAAAAUGCCCCAAACAGUUCUUCUUUCUGUCGCAAGAGCAACAAAACUCUUCCAUCUAUGCUUUCACUGCUUCUCUAUAGGUAUAAGAGGGCUGUCAAAAAGCUGCAGAGUUACACCCCUGGAGGAGGGAGGAGUGUGGCUCUCCAUUGUUACCGGUCUACUUCAACUUCCCAGAUGAAAG
rnacentral:lncRNA from 1 species